AUGUUGGGCAGUCCGAGAAAGCAGCACGGCGGCGGCGGCGGCGGAAGCCACUCGGCCUCGUUCCUCCUCGGGGCUCUCCUCCCCACGCUCCUGCUCUUCUUCCUCGCCUCCGACCGGGUCGGCGAGCGGCUGACCAGCAUCUCCACCUACACCUUGGGGAACAACAAUAAUGGAUCGUCAUCAGCUCAUCGUGAGCAGAUGACCCAUGAUGCCAACCUCACGGACACGGACACGACGGAGGAGAGGGUGUUCCCGGGGCUGGCGGAGCUGCUGCCGAGGGUGGCCACGGACGACGGGACGGUGAUCAUCACGUCGGUGAACGAGGCGUGGUCGCGCCCGGGCUCCCUCCUCGACCUCUUCCGCGCGGGGUUCAACAACGGCGAGGGGAUCGCGCACCUCCUCAACCACACCCUCAUCGUGGCCGUCGACCCCGGCGCGCUGGCGCACUGCGAGGCCGUGCACCCGCACUGCUACCUCCUCGAGGUCACCUCCGCCAACGUCAGCUCCGCCAACCGCUUCAUGACCAAGAGCUACUUCGAGCUCGUCUGGGCCAAGCUGGAGCUCCAGCAGCGCGUCCUCCAGCUCGGCUACAGCUACCUCUUCACCGACGUGGACAUCAUGUGGCUGCGCAACCCGUUCCGGUACAUCAGCCUCUACGCCGACAUGGCCGUCUCCACCGACCGGUUCAACGGCGACGCCGAGGCCCUGACGAACGCGCCCAACACGGGCUUCUACUACGUCAAGUCCACCAACCGCACGGUGGAGAUGCUGAGGCGGUGGCGGGCGGCGAGGUCGCGGUUCCCGCCGACCCACGACCAGGCGGUGUUCGACGAGAUUAAGGGCGAGCUGGCAGGCGGCGAGCUGCACAUCAGGUUCGUGUUCCUCGAGACGGCGCUCUUCGACGGCUUCUGCCAGCUCCACGACGAGAUGGACCGGGUGUGCACCAUGCACGCCAACUGCUGCAUCGGGCUCGAGAACAAGGUGCACGACCUCACCAACAUGGCCGCCGACUGGAAGAACUACACGAGCCUAGCGCCGGCGGAGAGAAGGGGCAGCGGGCGUAGGUGGACGGCCCCCGACCAGUGCGAGGAGUCCAUGAGGCAGCGCUGA
rnacentral:rRNA from 1 species